rnacentral:piRNA from 1 species
UAGCCUAAGGUGUGAAUGACGGU